AUUGAACGCUGGCGGCAGGCCUAACACAUGCAAGUCGAACGGUAGCACAGGAUAGCUUGCUCUUCGGGUGACGAGUGGCGGACGGGUGAGUAAUGCAUGGGGAGCUGCCCAAUCGAGGGGGAUACCAGCUGGAAACGGCUGCUAAUACCGCAUACGCCAUGAGGGGGAAAGGUGGGGACCUUCGGGCCUACCGCGAUUGGAUGCACCCAUGUGGGAUUAGCUAGUUGGUGGGGUAACGGCUCACCAAGGCGACGAUCUCUAGCUGGUCUGAGAGGAUGACCAGCCACACUGGAACUGGGGCACGGUCCAGAGUCCUACGGGAGGCAGCAGUGGGGAAUAUUGCACAAUGGGGGAAACCCUGAUGCAGCCAUGCCGCGUGUGUGAAGAAGGCCUUCGGGUUGUAAAGCACUUUCAGUGGGGAGGAAGGGGAGUAAGUUAAUACCUUACUUCAUUGACGUUACCCACAGAAGAAGCACCGGCUAACUCCGUGCCAGCCGCCGCAGUAA
rnacentral:rRNA from 1 species